CCUACGGGUGGCUGCAGUGGGGAAUAUUGGACAAUGGGCGAAAGCCUGAUCCAGCCAUGCCGCGUGUGUGAAGAAGGCCUUCGGGUUGUAAAGCACUUUCAGUGGGGAAGAAAGCCUUGGGGCUAAUACCCUCGAGGAAGGACAUCACCCACAGAAGAAGCACCGGCUAACUCCGUGCCAGCAGCCGCGGUAAUACGGAGGGUGCGAGCGUUAAUCGGAAUUACUGGGCGUAAAGCGCGCGUAGGCGGUCUGAUAAGCCGGUUGUGAAAGCCCCGGGCUCAACCUGGGAACGGCAUCCGGAACUGUCAGGCUAGAGUGUAGGAGAGGAAGGUAGAAUUCCCGGUGUAGCGGUGAAAUGCGUAGAGAUCGGGAGGAAUACCAGUGGCGAAGGCGGCCUUCUGGACUGACACUGACGCUGAGGUGCGAAAGCGUGGGUAGCAAACAGGAUUAGAUACCCCUGUAGUC
rnacentral:rRNA from 1 species